ACGGGUGAGUAACACGUGGGUAACCUGCCCCGUACUCUGGGAUAAGCCUGGGAAACUAGGUCUAAUACCGGAUAUGACUCCUUUGGGCAUCUGAAGGGGUGGAAAGUUCCGGCGGUACGGGAUGGGCCCGCGGCCUAUCAGCUUGUUGGUGGGGUGAUGGCCUACCAAGGCGACGACGGGUAGCCGGCCUGAGAGGGUGACCGGCCACACUGGGACUGAGACACGGCCCAGACUCCUACGGGAGGCAGCAGUGGGGAAUAUUGCACAAUGGGCGAAAGCCUGAUGCAGCGACGCCGCGUGAGGGAUGACGGCCUUCGGGUUGUAAACCUCUUUCAGCAGGGACGAAGCGUGAGUGACGGUACCUGCAGAAGAAGCACCGGCUAACUACGUGCCAGCAGCCGCGGUAAUACGUAGGGUGCGAGCGUUGUCCGGAAUUAUUGGGCGUAAAGAGCUCGUAGGCGGUUUGUUGCGUCGGCCGUGAAAACUUCACGCUUAACGUGGAGCCUGCGGUCGAUACGGGCAGACUUGAGUUCGGCAGGGGAGACUGGAAUUCCUGGUGUAGCGGUGAAAUGCGCAGA
rnacentral:rRNA from 1 species